AUUGAACGCUGGCGGCAGGCCUAACACAUGCAAGUCGAACGGUAACACGAAACAGCUUGCUGUUUCGCUGACGAGGGGCGGACGGGUGAGUAAUGUCUGGGAAACUGCCUGAUGGAGGGGGAUAACUACUGGAAACGGUAGCUAAUACCGCAUAACGUCGCAAGACCAAAGAUGGGGACCUUCGGGCCUCUUGGCAGCAGAUGUGCCCAGAUGGGAUUAGCUAGUUGGUGGGGUAACGGCUCACCUAGGCGACGAUCCCUAGCUGGUCUGAGAGGAUGACGAGCGCCACUGGAACUGAGACACGGUCCAGACUCCUACGGGAGGCAGCAGUGGGGAAUAUUGGACAAUGGGCGCAAGCCUGCUGCAGCCAUGCCGCGUGUAUGAAGAAGGCCUUCGGGUUGUAAAGUACUUUCAGCGGGGAGGAAGGGAGUCAAGUUAAUACCUUUGCUCAUUGACGUUACCCGCAGAAGAAGCACCGGCUAACUCCGUG
rnacentral:rRNA from 1 species